ensembl:lncRNA
GUUGAUGACCAAAAUGAUCAUGCCUUAGGGAGCCGAUGAGGUUUUUAUAACAGGGAAAAUGAAAACAGACGAACAUAAGGGAACGGGGGAAAAACUUAAAAGAGAAACGUAACGGGCAUGAGAAAAAAACUGAAACAUAAACAUAUUGCGCUGGGAAAAACAGCAGCGCCUCCGGGCCCAUUUAGUUGCCGAAUGGGGGGGGGGGGGGGGGUUACUUUAUAUGUGAACAUCAUUUACAGUAUUGUGCAAAAGUUUUAGGCACCCUACUUUUUUUUUUUUAGCACAAACUUUGUUAUGGAUUUUUUUUUAUCUUAUGACUUCUACAUUAUCGAGUCAGUACAAAAACAUUUGAGAUUUCCAAACAUUAGUUUUCCAGCACAAAAUGAAAUGUUAGUAAAUGGUCUGCGCUUAUAUAGCGCUCUUUUUUUAACCUUAGCAGUUCCAAAGCGCUUUACACUGGUUCUCAUUUACCCAUUCACACACCAAUGGUAGCAGAUGUGCCAUGCAAGGCGCUAGCUUCAGCGUCUUGCCCAAGGACACUUCGGCAUGUGGAGUCGUGUGGGGUGGGAAUCGAACCGCCAACCCUACGGUUAGCAGGUUGAAUAGCGGACCCUACGGUUAGCAGGUUGAUCAGCGGAGUCUACGGUUAGCAGGUUGAUUGACCCGCUCUACCACCUGAGCCACAGCCACCCUAUGUUACCGAAAAAUGUUUUUAUGUAAGUAAUGAAAGCAGUAUAUUACAUAAGAGACCACUUUUCAGACAAAAAACACAAUGAAGGCUGCUGGGUUUUGCUGCAAAAAUAAGAAGCGAGUGCGACAGUCAAAGUCUCCAGAAGAACCGUGUCUGGAUCUGCAAAAUGCUCAAUAAAACUUAACAGCUUAUUUCCUUAUAAAACUACACAAACUGUACCAGACUAUUUCAUUUUUUCAUUUACUACUGUUUACGGUAUUUUUUUAAAAAUGUAGAAACAUUUAAUUUCAAAGCAUUGUCAAAACAUUUAAAGGCAUCUUUGCAGCAUUCCUUUGCAUGUACCUAAAACUUUUGCACAGUACUGUAAGCUUUUAACAUGUUGGAUGUGGGAACACUCAUUACUACUUAAUGUACAAUCUGUAUUUUUAGAGAAUGUCCAUAUUAUUGUCUGCCUCUUUUGUUGUAGGAACUUAUGUUAAUCAGCCUUAUCCUCUAUGCUGCGUGUUUAUGAAGUGAUCGUGACCCAGAUGCCAUGGCAAAAAGAUACAUUAACAUCAUACACAGAGUAUCCACUACAUUAUACAUUGCAUUGCUGAGGAUUGUCAAAAGAGACCCAGAGAUAGUAGCAGUAGUAGAAAUAGCA